UCGUAAGACCGGCCACAGCUACUGGUGGCCGGAGCACCUCCGAUCAGCUCCAUCUCUCUCUCAGUUACAUCACCGGUAGCCAAGCUGGUGAUUGAUCCAGCCGGCUUCCGUGGUGAUUCCGACAAUCUGACGGCUCCCCUUCAGCAAUCUCGAGCCUCAGCGACCUUACUUGGCAUCCUCACGUGGCUGUGGUGGCUGGCCUCCCUUCGAACAACCCCCGGAUCGCUUCGUUUUACUUGAUUUCCAUUGAUAGUUCAUUUGCACAAAACUGAGUCGGUUCUUACUUUAGUUUGUACACUCGAUUCUCAUAGGUUUGUCGAGCUUUCCGAGGCUUCUCCAUGCUGUCCUUGAGCUGAAUACGGAGGCCGGAUCGCUUGGUUGUGCGUCAAAGUAUCAUUACACAGGGUAAUUACGAAUUAUACCCAUUCGCCAAACAAAAAUGGCUAAAGAGGAUAUGACAACCCGUGUGGCGGACAUAAAGAACGAGAUAAAGCAAGUCUUCACCUUUCUUCGACAACUCUCGAAACAAGUGGAACAUCUGUCAGUCCGCUUGGACCAACUCACCAUGGCUGCAUUUCUUCACCCAAGACCAGGGGUGAUGAUUCAAAUGGAGCCAUCCAGUGUCAACCCAAAAGGCACAGCUGUCAUAUCUGACAAUAUUAUUAAGUCCCCCAAUCCUAAGGAAUUGAGCACCCUACGCCCAAAGUUCAUACAACGUGAACAAUGCAGAUUCAGUAUAACCGUCCGGGCGUAACCAUCACAAAGGCGAAAUAACAGAAAAUAGUUUACGCCACUCUCCUGGCCUAUGUCUCAAAUCUUGCCCAUUCUCCUGGAAAAGAGAUUGCUUGCUAAAGACCCAAAGCGUGAAAAUCCUAAGCGUUUCCCCAACUACGAUCCCUCCAAAGCAUGCAAUUAUCAUCUGGGUGAAAUAAGACAUUCCGUCAAUGACUGUAUUGUCUUGAAGAAUAAAGUCCAGAAAUUAUUGGAUGCAAAGAUAUUUUCAUUCCGCAACGCACCACCAAUCAAGCAGGAGGCGCAGAUGUCAUCAUUGAGUAAACUAAAGACUCAAUUUUUCCCCUUUAGAAUAGAAGCAUAUUUAAUAGUUUGAAUCCUCCCCUAUGUGGGAGCUUUUCUUGCUUUCUAAAGUCUCAUUUGUUUUCUAGUAUUCUCGAUUUUCUGAAUUUUCAAUUAUGCUUGGAAUUUGAGUAUUGCAAUUUCCAUUCUAACAAAUGUAAUUCGCCUAAAUUAUUCAAAAGAAUCGCCAAUGUUUUGUUUUGACGAUAUGUUGAGGUAUACUAAACCAGCCCGGUCAUGAUAUCCACCCAUGAAAAUAAAAUAUCAUCCAUGUAGAAAUUUUGAGGGCUGGACUUCCUCAUGCUUCCUCCCUCAAUUCUUUUCAAAAAUAAUAAAAACAUUGCAUUGCUAAAGGCUUUUUUCCAAGCAUGUGUUAGAUAGACGUUGUUUGUUUUUUUUUUUACUCCUUUGCUUGAUGUCUCAUAGCGUAAUUCUCCUGGUUUGUUUCAAUGAUGAAGCUUCAUAAGAUGACACAUCAAUUUCCAAUGAUGGUAGACCCGUUGGUUAGUUUGAUAAUCAACAUAAUGGUGAGCAUAUUUUCAGAAGAAUGCUAUAUCAAUGUGGGUAAUUGAUUACCCCUUGAUUGAUUGUGAUGACCUCCCGAGGAGCGAAGUAGGCGUCCAACAAUCCUUAUCUCCAAGCAUGUCCCAAGUCGCUUCCCCGCACAUUUUUGUGAAACCGGGGGCAAGUCAGGAAGAAAUCACCCUUUUUUGAAAGGAAAAAGGUAAGUUUUAUUCCUCAACAAAUUUUGAAAAUAAUACUCCAUCCCUUCUUUUUUGCAGGUAACAAACUAGGGAGCAUGCUAAAUUCUGAUGUGCUAGUAAGCCGGAUAGAGCACAAAUGAUGAGACCUCUUGAGCGAAACACUACGGAAUACUAAAAGGAUGUAUCUUGGUCCUUGUCUUAGCCCUAAUCUGUGCAAACAACUAAUACAUUUCUUCCGUAAUGUGCAAAGAGUCCUUGAUUGGAGAAAUAGACUAGAGGGCAUGGAAUGUUAGAAUCCCCCAAUCUAGCAAAAAUGGUGUAUUUCGUUCCUAAAGUUCAUCUACUUUAACAUAGAAAUGAUAUAUCCUCUCCUUUUAUGUAGGAUGGACUUGAAUAAAGGUCCAUCAUAAGCAGCUAGAUUGGACUUCGCAUAUGACAAGAUAGCACCAAUGCUAAUACUGACAAUCAUGGAAGUCUUGAUGGUAGUCAUCAAAAAGGAUUACAACGCCCAUAUUAGUCAAAGACAUUUAAAGUCAAUAUUAGCUUUGCUGCGAAGAUCCACAUGUGUAGUCAGGAAUCAGAUGAUUCCCGAGAAGCUUUUCAACGUGCCGGAACCGCAUUAACACAACAUGCGUCGAGAAUAGGACCGCCUAGUUAGGAGCACCCUUGCCUGUAGAGGAUUUCAUUCGAGCUUCAAGACCAACAAGGAAGGGAUUUCAAAAGAAAAGACUUUGCUAGCUUUGAAGACAAAAUGGAGGACGGGUAAUUUAGUAUCGUUCUCAAUUUACCCACGAUCAUUUCAUUACUAACAUGAGCUCAUGCUAUUCUCAACAAGAAUUGUCAACAUUUGAGAAAAGCUCCAGGAGUCAUUAGCUUAAACUCAAAUGAAGGGAGAUACGAAGGGUAAAUUGAUAUUGUUCUCAAUUUAUCCUCGAUCAUCUUAUUUCUAACAUGAGCUCAUGCUAUUUUCGACAGAUAUUGUUGACAUUCGAGAAAGCUUAAGGAAUUGUAAAUUUAAACUCAAAUGAAAGGAGACAUGAAGGGUAAUGUUGUAUCGUUCCCAAUUUCUGUCCCCCAAAGAGUCGUUCAUUAACAUGGACUCUCUUAUUGCCUUGCAGGUUUGCCUCGCCGCCAUUGCAGCACAGGUAAGUAUCUCUUUCCUUGAAUCUCUUUUCAUAAGAGUAGAAAGAAUUAAAGAAAGAGGAAACAAUUUAAAGCGAAUAGAUGCUUAAUCAUCCCUCAAAUACAUCGCAUAUCUUUUGAAAAGGAAUUUUGCAAAGUAAUUUUACUUGUUUAAUUUACCAAUUCCAUGCAAAAAUUUUGACAAUU